rnacentral:rRNA from 1 species
UACGGAGGGUGCGAGCGUUGUCCGGAAUCACUGGGCGUAAAGGGCGCGUAGGCGGCUCGUGAAGUCAGUGGUGAAAGCCCAGGCUCAACUCUGGGUCGGCCACUGAUACUCGCGAGCUCGAGUUUGGUAGAGGCAGAUGGAAUUCCGGGUGUAGCGGUGGAAUGCGUAGAUAUCAUUUGGAACGCCAAUGGUGAAAACAGGUAGCUGGGGGCUGUGCUGACGCUGAGACACGAAAGCCAGGGGAGCAAACGGG